rnacentral:rRNA from 1 species
UACGUAGGGUGCAAGCGUUGUCCGGAAUACUGGGCGUAAAGCGUGCGCAGGCGGUUUUGUAAGUCAGAUGUGAAAUCCCCGGGCUUAACCUGGGAACUGCGUUUGAAACUACAAGGCUAGAGUGUGGCAGAGGGGGGUGGAAUUCCACGUGUAGCAGUGAAAUGCGUAGAGAUGUGGAGGAACACCGAUGGCGAAGGCAGCCCCCUGGGUUAACACUGACGCUCAGGCACGAAAGCGUGGGGAGCAAACAGG